rnacentral:rRNA from 1 species
CCUACGGGUGGCAGCAGUGAGGAAUUUUGGUCAAUGGGCGCGAGCCUGAACCAGCCAUGUAGCGUGAAGGAUGACUGCCCUACGGGCUGUAAACUUCUUUUAUAAAGGAAUAAAGCGAGGAACGUGUGCCUUUUUGGAUGUACUUUAUGAAUAAGGAUCGGCUAACGCCGUUCCAGCACCCGCGGUAAUACGGAGGAUCCGAGCGUUAUCCGGACUUAUUGGGUUUAACGGGAACGUAGAUGGGUUGUUAAGUCAGUUGUGAAAGUUUGCGGCUCAACCGUAAAAGUGCAAUUGAUACUGGCAGCCAUGAGGAAAGUGGAGGCAGGCGGAAUUCGUGGUG